GUGGUUAGCUCAGCUGGGAGAGCAUCGCCCUUACAAGGCGAGGGUCACAGGUUCGAUCCCUGUACCACCCACCA
rnacentral:tRNA from 1 species